rnacentral:pre_miRNA from 1 species
CUAGGGGAUGAGUGGGAUGGUUGCAUACUUUACACACAACGAAAAUGUAUUAUGCAACGUUUCACUCUACUCCGGAGA